rnacentral:rRNA from 1 species
UACGUAGGAGGCGAGCGUUGUCCGGAAUUACUGGGCGUAAAGAGCGCGUAGGCGGCACUGUACGACCGCUGUGAAAGCCCCCGGCUCAACUGGGGGAGGGUCAGUGGUAACGGCAGAGCUUUGAGUGCAGGAGAGGGAAGUGGAACUCCGGGAGUAGCGGCGAAAUGCGUAGAGACCCGGAGGAACACCAGUGGCGAAGGCGGCUUCCUGGUCUGCGACUGACGCUGUGGCGCGAAAGCUAGGGGAGCGAACAGG